CAUAGCGACUAUCGUGGCAUAUCAAUAAGCGGAGGAAAAGAAACUAACAAGGAUUCCCUUAGUAACGGCGAGUGAAGCGGGAAGAGCUCAAAUUUGAAAUCUUCAAGGUUUUACCUUGACGAAUUGUAGUUUAAAGAAGUGUUUUCUGUUGGAGUUUUGGUAAAAGUUCUUUGGAAUAGGACAUCAUAGAGGGUGAGAAUCCCGUAUUUGACCAUUAUUUCCAGCUGUGUGAUACACUUUCAAAGAGUCGGAUUGUUUGGGAAUGCAGUCCAAAAUGGGUGGUAAAUUUCAUCUAAAGCUAAAUACUGGCGAGAGACCGAUAGCGAACAAGUACCGUGAGGGAAAGAUGAAAAGAACUUUGAAAAGAGAGGUUAAACAGUACGUGAAAUUGUCAAAAGGGAAGCGUUUGACACCAGUGUUGUUUUCUCGAAAAUCAAUUAAAAAUGGUGGGAUGUUGUGUUGUAUUGACUUUAUCAGCUUUCUGCACUUUUUUCCUAUCUUUUUUAAUGCACUUUUCGUUUAACAAGUCAACAUCAAUUUCUUUUGCUGUAAAAGAGUCAUUGGAAGGUGGCUUUCUCUUCGGAGAAAGUGUUUAUAGCCUUUGACUUCUGCAGUCGGAGAGAUUGAGGUCUGCAGCGUAGAUCCUUCGGGGUUAGAUACAUUUGUGCUAAGCUAUAGCCUUUCAUAGACAACUUGUUGACUAUGAUCAGUCAUGUAGCUUACUCGCUUAUGCUAUUUUACCUACGCUUAGGAUGUUGAAGAUAUGCGCGACACG
rnacentral:rRNA from 1 species